CGCGCAGACCGCCUUAUCGCCGUUCCAAUUUAUUGGGAGGGAGGAAAGUCCGGACACCACAGAGAAGCAUAGCGGGUAACGCCCGUCGGUCCCGAUUUUAAUCGGGAUUAGGACAAGUGCAGCAGAAAGUAUGUACAGGUAAUGCUGUAGUGAAACCAGGUAAACUCUAUGCGGUGAAAUACCAAGUAUAUCAGCAUUUAAGGGCUUCUCGUCCGUUGUUGAAGGGUAGGUAGCUUGAGUUCCGGAGUAAUUCGGAAUCUAGAUAAAUGAUAAGGCCUUGAUUUAUCAGGGACAGAAUCCGGCUUAUAGGUCUGCAUUUUUU
rfam:Flavobacterium johnsoniae TW101, complete genome.